GGGAGUUUAAAGCGGUUCUGAACCGAAGAUGCAAAGAGUGAUGAGAAGCCAGUUGGCUGGUUACAGAGAGCUACUGGCCAUUCCCUGUGGGGCUUGUCUUGUCUGGAUAGUUUUCUUUGAAUGGCUAAUCCUCAGUACUUUUCCAGUAACCUUGGAACUUGGGGGGUUCGGCUUGCAUAUGUAUUGCUCAGAGUAAGCCCAUUGAAAUGAAUGGACUCGAGAUAGUCACGUCCAUAAAUUUCAGUGGGUUUCCUCUGAGGAGGGCUAAUGUUUGAUACAGCCCUGAGAGCCAAUGGUGCAACCGUUGGAUCUUGUCCGAAGGAUAAUAGACACAGCUCGCCGGCUUCUUUUGUGGAGACCCAACUUUUGACCCUGGCCUGACACCCAGGAAAUGUUUGUCGUUCCAAACCGGUGAUCAUCCUCCUGCCAAAAUGUUUGCAACUGAGAAGCCUGCUCUGGAAACCAAAAUCAGUUUGCAAGAAUCCCAAUUCCCGCCAGUCCCAUGGUGGCAGAUGACGUUUCGGCAACAUCUGGAUGGGGAAGGUGGCAUUCAUUCCCCCCCAGGGCACCCUGCUUUGUCGCCAGCUAGCUCCUGCUCAGAGUAGACUCGUUGAAAUGAAUGGACCGAAAGUUAUCCAUGUUUAUUAAUUUCAGUGGUAUCAAAGUAAGAUACUUUUGAGUAGGACUAACAUUGAACACAACCCCCGCAUACAGCGGUACCUCGGAAGUUGAACGGAAUCCGUUCCGGAAGUCCGUUUGACUUCCAAAACGUCCGGGAACCAAGGCGCGGCUUCCGAUUGGCUGCAGGAGUUUCCUGCAGCCAAUCGGAAGCCCCGCCGGAUGUUUGGGUUCCAAAGAACAUUCGCAAACCGGAACACUCGCUUCCGGGUUUGCAGCCAAAACGUUCGACUCGCAAGGUGUCUUGGAGCAAGAUACGACUGUAUACGUCAGAGGUGAGGAAUCUUUGGCCUCGCACAUCUUGCCGAAAUGGAACUCCUUUCAGCUCCAAUGCCCAGAGUUUCCCAACCCCUUGCCAUGUUGCCGGAGUUGUGACAUUUUUGCGGGGGAAGGGUUUAAACACACAAACCAUUCUCAGGAUCAGAUCUGUGUGCAUUGGGACUUUGGCUUUUUUUGGUACGUGGUUGUGAUUGUAGGCAGGAGGUCUGGGUAGCAAAAGAACAACAACACGCCAUGGAUUUGCCUUCAGGGGUAAAGAUUAAAACUUAAGACGUGACCCUUAAAGCACAUUUCCAAAUUAUAUGUUUAAGGCUUCUUUCUUUUUUUAAAAGCCGCCUCCUCUGCACUGUCUUCUGGUCAUAUCCGCACCCUGCGUUGAAAGCACAAGAAUUCUGGGAACUGUAGUUCAUUGCUCGCAGGGCUGUCGUUCCUAGUUCCCUUAGGAAACUACAACUCCCAGGAUUCUUUGGGAGAAGCCACUUUUUUUAAUGCCUACCCAUGUGGACGCGAUCGGAGUUUAAGGACUCCUGCACACCGUACAUCCUCCUUUUCAAAAUCCGGGCAAAUAUCAGCUGCUGGUGUGUCUCCUACCUGCUUUUUUGACCAGAAGAAAGACCUCACCAGUCUUGAGCAUGCAUGCUGUUUAAAAAAAUCCCUAAAGCCAAUAGCUGUAUACUUCAAUGAUUUCCAAAACAAUUUUUUAAAAGCAUGGAUUUUGGCAGGGUGAUUUGGCUAUGCAACGCCUGCGAAGCUAGUUGCUCACUGCGUCAAAGUCAACUUGUAAUGACUCUGUGCCGUCUGAAAAAUCCGGCUAUCUCAAUCGGCUUGGCUUCCAUUGAUGCGGAGCAGAAUCCAUUGGAAACUGCCCUGGACACGCAAUUCCCCGAGGUGUCAAGUGGUGGUUGCAAAGUGGCUCAGCAGCCCUUGGCAGAUGAGUCAAUGUUUGCGUAGACUGGUUUAUUAAACUCUUCCAGCUGAGGUUACUACCGAUGUUCCACAACUCCCAUUGCAACCCAAAGCACAAUGGGUUGCGUCCAUGUUAGUCCGACUCAGAGCAGACUCACUGAUGAACCAGAGGCUCAAUUUAUUCCAUUGGGUCUACUCUGAACUGGCUACAGCCCAGUAUCUCCAGGCGUGUCGCCUUGUUCAGGAUUCUCUUCCCAGAUCUUCCCAAAAAAACAGACCGCGAAAUGUGCUUCGUGGAUCGCAUGAGAGAACAGGGCGGUUGUCUUCCAUGGGUGGGGUUGAGGAACGACUUCCCUUCCUUGACCCGAUCCGAGCUAACUGCAAACCACCGCUGCUCAUCGAGUUGUCCUCACAUUUCCCAGCGGGCAAGAAUACUUGCAUCAGCAACAGCGGCCUGCUCUCAACCCAGCCCAAGCCACAACGGCCAGCCGUCCCCCUAAAUCAGGGAGGAGAGAAAACAGAGGCCGGUUGUCACUGGACUACAACUCCCAUGAUCUCUGGCCAUCGGCCGAUUCCUUUUCAACUAUCCUCAGCACCCCUCUCCUGGUCAAACUCCAUAGGAGAUAAGUUAGGAAGUAAAACCUGAUGGGCGUGCAGAAGGAGGGAUGGGUGAUUGGGACUGAAGACAUUGACUAGCCUGUAGUUGACCCCUUUCGUCUCUGGGAAAAACAACAACUUCUGAGCUUGGGAAAAGUCUCUUUUCUUCUUCUAGCGCGUUACCAAGCCAUUUGAUUCUUCCUGAUGUGCUCCGAUGAGCUCAGGGAAGAAGGAAGCCAUUUUUCUUCGGUGCCUCCUGUCUUCGUUCCAACCAGUUCUUGCUGGUUUUGCACCAGUUUGCAGACCAAGUGGUCGUGGCCCAUCGUGGUAGUGCUAUUGACCCCCUCGGUUCCUUUUCCCGGUAAAACUCCGGGCGUUUGGGGUGCAACCGCGGCCUAACGAGCGCCAUGUUCUUCACCGAAACUCCACCCGUGGCGAAUUCCUGAGGAAGAAAGAUGGAGCGAAAUCUCCAGUCGCGGUUUGUAGUUAAGGAACUUAAGCCAAAGCGAGAAGCGUUGGGAUAGGUGUGUUUUCUUAGCUUCGCUGAGAAAAACAACGGAUAAAAAGGUGCCUUCACGUAUUAAAGGUUUUUUUGGGGGGUUGAUGGGAGGGCUCGCAAAUGGACUGCAGCUCCAUAGUACGAAAAGGGUUUCCGUCGCGCCAAUAUGGGGUGGCCCGUUCUUCCUCAUGGCUCCACCGCCUUGAAACGUUAUUUUGGGGGGCUCUUAACCCCCAUAUUUACCUGUUGUGGAAUCUCUUCCUCCUCAGGAUUUGUGGGAGUCACAAAACGCCUCGGGGAAAAUCACCACGUCCUCCUUGUGAGAUGAAGUCCAGUUGGGCUAACUCCUGGAUUCUCCUUAAAAGAACGCAGAGGCGCGAAGAUGCUAUCCAAGAUUCUUGCUUCCUCUUUUGCAAAAAAAUAAUAAUUAAAAAAGGCUGCUCUCAGGGUCUCUUGGUUUGUGAGCUGUUGAAACCAGCUUGAAACUGGUUUCGGAUGCCCUCCCUUGCCCCUGCCCAAAGGACCCCUUCACCCCACCCCAAAUCCCAUGUUAUCUCAGUUAUGCAUCAAUUGCCCCAGCAAUGCGUCUUGUUCAUUAAGACAUGCUUUUAUAGUUGGCCUUUUCUUUCCAGAGGGGGGAAAUGCCUGAAACGAAAGAUUUCUCUUCUUCCCUGCAAAAAAACAACACAAAACAUCUUUGCCAUCUCUCAGAAACUUGUUCAGCGGCUUGUUCGUAUAUUUGCGUGCUUGCUUCCUUUUCUACAGUCGUUUCGGACAUAAUUUUACCCCUCUCAGUUCUUGAAUUCGCUCUUCCCUGCAAUAAUUUCGCAGGCUUCCCCCCACCCCUCCUGCUCCAAAUCAUUUUUUUUUUCUAAGUUGGCAUUGAGAAUCCUGUGGAUACAGGACCCUGGGUCAGAUUCUGCUUCGCUGUGAAGUUUCUCCUCUUAAUGCUCCUUUUAGUCUCUUCUGCUUUUUGCUCUCUCUGUCUCUCCCCCACCGCUUUAUUCUUCCUCCUCCUCUUCUUCUUCUUCUUCUUCUUCUUCUUCUUCUUCUUCUUCUUCUUCUUCACAUCUUUCUCAGCUGCUGUUCGAACCCUUGCUAUGAGGGUAGAUAAAUUCAGGAAGGGUUGAGGAUUACGUAGGGAGAUUUUAGCAUUUUCUCAUAUUAAUAUAUAUAUUUUUAAAAGAAUUAAUAGUCACCCAGGUUACGUAUCCGACACUAAUUUCAGGCUUGUGGGGGAGGGGGAGAGAGAGAGAGAGAGAUUCUCUUUCCCUGGAUGUUUUCGUUUUUUUGUUUUAAAUAGAAUUUACACACACAGAAAACAAAACACAAAAAAAAGUUCCAUUUGAAUUUCUUCUAUUCUUCAGGAUUGGUUGUUGACUAAAAAUUGAAUCAAUUGUAUGUUCUUUUUCCAUAUAUUGUACUGUAAUAGAGAACUGUUAAUUUUUUGCACUAAUAGAUUUCUUUUCUCUCG
rnacentral:lncRNA from 1 species